UCACACGGACGGCUUCCCCUCCCGGAGACUCGCGGACAGACGGCGUUCGGAGCCGUUGGAGGCCGGGAUUGGGAGUUUUGGUUCCGGACGGCCAGAAAAUAAUACCUGAUCGCCCUGUCCCGAGGUCUCUGACUCCGGCCCCCGCUGCCUCUGACACCCCACCCCCUGGAAGAGCACCCUCCACCAGUAUACAGUCCGUGUUUGGAGACACGCCAGUGGCUGUAGAACGGAACCAGCAGGUCCGACCUCCACGGAGUCACGGGCGUCACAACGGGGCAGGGUAGGUGGACGGCACCCGUGCACCGGCGGAUGGGGGUAGACCCCAAGGUGUGCAUCACAUCUGCCCCAGGCUCCCUCCCCCACCUACGCCAUCCAACAGGAAGGUAUUUAAUGCUCCUGAGCCCUGGUGUAAGGUUGCCAUGCGGCAAGGUGAUGGUGGCGAUAUGAUCUGUAUAUCCUGUGCACAUGAUAGUGAGUGUCGGACUGUUCAUGGAGAUAUGGAGAGCAGGGGAUGGUGGGGGGGGGGCAAGAUCAGACAGGGCUGCCGAUGGGGAAACCACAAUGCUGCCAUCAAAGGGCCAACGCCCACGCCCCCCAUCCAUUCCAAAAUGCCUCCAUCCUGCCAGUCUCUGUCUGCAGGCCGUUAUUUAUCUGCCAAUCAGACUGCCAUGUUCCAGGGUUACAGUUGCUAGGCUGUUUCAGUUUUAAAAGCUGUGAUCUGAUAUCAGAUAAGGUCGUAUCCACCGAUGAAAUGGCCCCUGCUAGAAGUUGAUUCGCCCUCUGAGCACCCUCUCCCUUGUCACUCACCGAUUUGAAACAUAUCAUUGGACGAUGAUAAUGUUGACCCCUCCCCACACCUUACAAAAAUCCCAGAAUGACCGCUGAUAUUGGUUGAAAUUUAUGGAAUGUAAAGAGUACUUGGCACGCUCUGAUUGCUGAGUGCUGUGACCGAUUAGUCUCCAUUUUGAAUAAGCGUUGGUGUGUUAAAUCCUUAAAAAGUGAUGAAUGAGCUGCACUUUAAGUCAAAAAUUAGUAAUUAAGUUAGAAUUAUUUCCCCAAGUGCAAAGUGCAACAUGCUGCGUCAUAACAUUACAAAAGAAUCAUUAACAGUUAGGAAGUGAACAUCAGACAAGUAACACAGGCAAUUUACCAGGUUCUGUUCACCUUUUCCCCUGGUUAUCACCAGCACAGACUGGGCUUCCUCUCACCCUAAUCAUGGUCGUAAACAGUAAUCAUUUUAUGACGCUCUAUGGAAGCUUAUGUUACGUUAGUGUCUAUUACCAUGUUAGCAUAUAACAAACGGCAUUAUGCCAACAUUGUUAUAAUGGUGUGUUAUGCUAAUCAUAUAUACUAGACUGUUAGUGGACUUGAUUAUUUUAUUUGUAUUGUUUUAUAUGUAUUUCUAUUGUCUUGUCGUACCCUGAAAAUGAGUGGUAUUGGUGAUUCCGGCAUCUUCUCCUGCUUGGGUAUGAUUUUGAACUGAAUACCGCAAUAUUUUAUAAGUUCUUUGUUCUGCAGGAAUUGCAUUUUCUCUUCUAGAAAGAUCAAAUGUUUCUUUUUAUUUUUAUUCCCGGCAUACAUUGCGGUUGUGUCGUUCGUUUUUCCCGCUAUUUCCCUUAAACCCGUUAAGGGAAACGAGGGUCUUGUUCUCCACUAGUCAGUGGUGUCUCUGCACAGCCGCUGUGUGAUGAUCUGUGUGAGCGUACAGAUGUGACAGGUUACCGUACGAACCGAACAGCUGGUCCAUGCAUCGUGGAAUUACCCUUCUCGGCUGCACGGGGCCCUACCCAGACUGCGCUGGGGGCUGCCAGGUCGGGGGAUUCAACCUGAGAACCCUCAAGGCCAGACGGUGACUCCGAGAUCAGUUUGUCUGCGUUACUGUGAACUUUGACCCCGCUUUAUGACCAGAAAAUGAAACUGACACCGCAAGUUAAAACAACGCAAUUCUAGAAAGAGCCUGGGCCUUGCUAUCCUUCAUCUCAGCCCACCUGUCACUCAUGGGGGCUCCAGUGUUUAUGUCGUCGAGAAAAUGAUCAAAAAGAAUCCAUGGAGCUUCCGCAUCAGCCCACACGACGUAGAGGGGGACUCGUGUCAGGCAGAACCUUCCAGAAGAAGACCGACACUCCCCAGCUGGACAUGAAUCUGCCUCAUUGUACACGCAAUCGUGUUAAACUGUGUCCAGAGACUUCAUGUCACUAAUGUGUGUCUCUUACACACUAAGCUCUGCAAAUGCCUCCAAACAGGAGUGUCCAUGGAUUGAUUUUAAAGACACCCACCCCCCCACGCCGCUUAAAUUGGGCACGCCAGCCGUCCAACAGUGAAUCCCCCCCAGCUGGCCCCUCCCCCCAGUUGUCGUGGCAUUAGUCGACUGACAAAAACAACACGUGCAGCCGUUGUCCUGGUAGU